rnacentral:lncRNA from 1 species
GCCUGUGUGUGUGCAUGUGUGUGCAGAAGAGGAGCUGAGGAGGGUUAGCCCUGUGCCCAGGACAGCAGGUGCAGAGGCUGAACUCGGGCGGGGGCAGCUCCUCCUAGCUGCUUGAUGGGUGGAUCUCCACUCCAGCUGGGUCUGCUGGCCAACUUUCUGCAAGCUGUGGCUUCUCUGAGGUUCUGGGCUCCACUGCUGCACAGCCAGCUGCACAGUGCCUUGUGGUGGCAGCCCCAGGUCGUUGCUGCAGUUGCUUUCCAUCCUGUGAUCUGGGGAUCCAGACAAGUGGUGUGGGGAGGUUCUGCGCCACUCCGUGUGCCCGGGGCCUCAGCUGGGAGGACUGGAGUGGCUGAGCCGCCCUGGGACAGUGGGCACUGCUGAGCCGCCACUGAGCAAGACAACAGUGAGGUACAAUCUUCUGCGUGACACUGGCCAUCACCAUGGUAACAACCUGAUUGCAGCUGGCUCACUGUUGCCCUGGACCCAGACUGAGAAGCAUCAGAGAAGAGGACAUGGAGGAGAAGGCAGCAUGGAAGGGUCCCUGGGCAAGGGCUUUGUGUAUGAGAAGAAGCAGGCAGAAGAAAACAGAACAUAUAAAGGAUGACUCUGCUGCCCUCGAAAAAACCAAGAAAACAGAACAUGAAUCAUUUCUUUUCAUGUAUCUUACAAGCAUGAAUGCAAGGAGGCAUAUUAGUCAGGAGAGAUUAGUCUCUGCUGCAGCAACAAACAACCCAUGAGUAUCAGUGGGUUAUGAAAUGGACUGUUUAACUGCUCAAAGUAUGUAUCCACCCCUAGUCUUCUUGGGGCUCUGCUCUGUAUCUUCCAGUCUGAGCUUCCUCCCUUUCAGUGCUAUGGGUCACUAUGGCAAGGAAGAGGAGCUCUGGCAAUGAAGAGCUACAGAGAAGACAGACACACGGCACUGCUUUUCAGCUGAAACGGCCUUGUGAGUCCUGCCCAGCCACAUGGAGACCAGGAAGAGGACAGUUCUUCCUUGUGUCCAGGAGGGGGAGCUGGAAAUGUUUGGCAAAGAGCAGCAAUAACUACCACGGGCUGACCUUUGGAUGAGAAAUGUUUGGCCCUCACAGGCACAGUAUACUUAUUCUCAAAAGGGUGACCUAGUCCUGGUAUCGAGGUGACGUUCUAGAACUUCCUGUGGUGUGCAGCAGUCUUCACACUAGGGAGUGAAAGCCCCAGUCUUCCCAUCAGUCAUGGACACUCACCCUCCGUACUCAGAGACACAGGUUUGGCUCCUAAAUGUUCCCCAAAGGCCCAGAUGUUGAAGGUGUGGUCCGCACCAGCCCUUGGUGCUGCUGGGAGGGGCGGGGCCUGUAAAAGGAGGGCCCUCAUAGGAAGAAGUGAGGUCACUGAGGUGUGUCCUUGAAGCAGUUAUUGGGAUCGUGGCCCUCCUCUGUUUCCCUGACACCAUGAGCUGAGCAGCUGUGCCCUACCAUGUCCUCCUCCCAUGAUGCACUCUGCUUCCUGGGUCCAGAGUCAUGGGGCCAGGCAGCCACAAACUCAAUUCUCUGAAGGUGUGAGCUGUAAUACUUUUUUCUCAUGUGCCUAAGGUGAAUUUCUUAGACAUUUUUUCAUUACAGUGGAAAGCUGACUAAAACACACUAUUGACACGCCUUGCACUGGUCACUGAAUUUCCUGUUGGUGGCUCUUACGCUGAUAGACAAUAACGACACCCAGGGUUCCUCUGGGGAUGAACCUCAGCGUAGACAACACGAGCCCAUACGUGUCUCUGCGAGGUUAUCCAGAGUCACUCUGUCCAAUGCAAAUUGCUGUUUUAGAAUUCAAAACUUUCAGUUUUGCUCUAAUCCACCUUAUUCCACUCAGAGGAUGUGUUCCGGGAAGCCAGCUUUGAAUUCUCAUCAGCCGUUAACACAGGCGUCUUCUAAGACUUAAUUUCUUAUUUCAGGAGAUGAGAAGUAGUUUAUAAAUUCUCUGUAUUUCAGGACUCUCUUGUCCAUUCCAUCUCCUUUUGUAAAAUAACAAUUUUUUUCUUCUGAGUGCACCAAUAUCUUCUACAUUUUCAGCUGCAGCCAAUAGGACCCAUUAUAAUAUUAUCAAU